AAGGAUGGAAAAUCUAACAUUGAUGCUAAUGAACUUUAUGUGGAGUUGAUGUUUCUUAAAAAUUGCAUUACAAAAAAAAUAUUGGGCCAGUUGAAAAUUCUAAAGUUUUUAAAGCGAGAGUGUUUCCCCAAUGCAAGUAUUGCAUAUAGAGUUCUCCUGACUAUCCGUGUGACUAUUGCAUCAGCAAACGAAGCUUUUUCUAAAUUGAAGCUACUGAAGUCCUAUAUAUGCACUAUCAUGACACAAAUAAGACUCGCUGAUUUGGCUACAAUAGCACUGGGGAGUGCUGUAUUGGAGAAGAUUUCUUACGAUGAUAUUAUUGAAGAUUUUAUUACAAAGAACACUAAAAGAAUGAUGUUAUUUAAGUGA
rnacentral:rRNA from 1 species